UACAGGGGGCGCGAGCGUUGCUCGGAAUCACUGGGCGUAAAGCGUACGCAGGCGGAUCGUUAAGUCGGGUGUGAAAGCCCGGGGCUCAACCCCGGAAUUGCAUUCGAUACUGGCGGUCUUGAGUGCGGGAGAGGUGAGUGGAAUUCCUGGUGUAGAGGUGAAAUUCGUAGAUAUCAGGAGGAACACCGGUGGCGAAGGCGGCGACCUGGUCCGUGACUGACGCUGAGGCGCGAAAGCGUGGGGAGCAAACAGG
rnacentral:rRNA from 1 species